GGAAUUCUCGAAAAGAAGUUCUUGACUUUUCUGUUGUUGCUUGUAGCCAUUAGAUCUAUCUGGGGAAGGCCCCAUUUUUCUACGAUCUGUAGAAAUAUUAUGUCUGAUAGACUCCAUUCUCCCGGGUCUAAUCUCACCCUUCUGAGAAAGUCUGCCACAGAGUUCUGAGUUCCUGGGAGAUGUAUUGCAGAGAUAUUCUCCAAAUUAAAUUGGGCCCAGG